UACGUAGGGUGCAAGCGUUGUCCGGAAUUAUUGGGCGUAAAGAGCUCGUAGGCGGUUUGUCGCGUCUGCUGUGAAAAUCCAGGGCUUAACCCUGGACCUGCAGUGGGUACGGGCAGACUGGAGUGCGGUAGGGGAGAUCGGAAUUCCUGGUGUAGCGGUGAAAUGCGCAGAUAUCAGGAGGAACACCAAUUGCGAAGGCAGCUCGCUGGGACGUUACUGACGCUGAGACGCGAAAGCGUGGGGAGCAAACAGG
rnacentral:rRNA from 1 species